AUCAGUCUUACUGAGUGACAUGAGUUUAGUUGCUUGCUGAUUAGAUCCAGUAAUACCUUACUUAACCUUGUUGUCUUGCCAGUUGUUUAAUACAAAGAGGCCAUUGUUUUACUGCUGUAGAAUUUUAUAUGUGUGGAAAUAGACACAAGUUCAAAGUUGAUAUACUAGAGUCUAUAAAUCUGUGUGGUACAUUUAGCACCGAGUUCGCAAUGAACUGUUGAAUGUUUGGUCAAGCAGAAGGAAAUAUGAGGAUGACAGUGAUUCAUUUGAUGAGUCCUUAGGGGGGGAUGAUCAAGGGAAUCAAGUUGGACAACUACACAGCAAGGAUGAAAAGGCAA